AUUGAACGCUGGCGGCAGGCCUAACACAUGCAAGUCGAACGAGUGGCGGACGGGUGAGUAAUGUCUGGGAAACUGCCUGAUGGAGGGGGAUAACUACUGGAAACGGUAGCUAAUACCGCAUACCAUCAGAUGUGCCCAGAUGGUAUUAGCUAGUAGGUGAGGUAACGGCUCACCUAGGCGACGAUCCCUAGCUGGUCUGAGAGGAUGACCAGCCACACUGGAACUGGGACACGGGCCAGACUCCUACGGGAGGCAGCAGUGGGGAAUAUUGCACAAUGGGCGCAAGCCUGAUGCAGCCAUGCCGCGUGUAUGAAGAAGGCCGUAGGGUUGUAAAGUACUUUCAGCGGGGAGGCGUUACCCGCAGAAGAAGCACCGGCUAACUCCGUGCCAGCAGCCGCGGUAAUAC
rnacentral:rRNA from 1 species